rnacentral:rRNA from 1 species
GCUUGUCUCAAAGAUUAAGCCAUGCAUGUCUAAGAAUAAGCCCAUAGAACGGCGAAUCUGCGAAUGGCUCAUUACAUCAGUUAUUGUUUAUUUGAUGGUACACUAUGCCUUUUAGGCAGGGCUACUUGGAUAACCGUAGUAAUUCUAGAGCUAAUACAUGCAUAAAUCCCCGACUGCUUGGAAGGGGUGUAUUUAUUAGAUGGAAACCAAUUCGGGGUAACCCGGUUAAUGGUGAUUCAUAAUAACUUUCGGAUCGACGCAAGUCGAUGCAUCAUUCAAGUUUCUGCCCUAUCAGUUGUGGAUGGUAGGGUAUUGGCCUACCAUGACUUUAACGGGUAACGGAGAAUUAGGGUUCGAUUCCGGAGAGGGAGCCUGAGAAAUGGCUACCACAUCCAAGGAAGGCAGCAGG